rnacentral:rRNA from 1 species
UACGUAGGGUGCAAGCGUUGCCCGGAAUUAUUGGGCGUAAAGGGCGCGUAGGCGGCGAUUCAAGUGACGGGUGAAAUCCCUCGGCUUAACCGAGGAACUGCCUGUCAGACUGGAUUGCUUGAGGCCGGGAGAGGCGAGUGGAAUUCCCAGUGUAGCGGUGAAAUGCGUGGAUAUUGGGAGGAACACCAGUGGCGAAGGCGGCUCGCUGGACCGGUUCUGACGCUGAGGCACGAAAGCGUGGGGAGCAAACAGG